rnacentral:rRNA from 1 species
GGUUAAGCGACUAAGCGUACACGGUGGAUGCCCUGGCAGUCAGAGGCGAUGAAGGACGUGCUAAUCUGCGAAAAGCGUCGGUAAGGUGAUAUGAACCGUUAUAGCCGGCGAUGUCCGAAUGGGGAAACCCAGUGCAAUUCGUUGCACUAUCGUUAACUGAAUACAUAGGUUAACGAGGCGAACCGGGGGAACUGAAACAUCUAAGUACCCCGAGGAAAAGAAAUCAACCGAGAUUCCCCCAGUAGCGGCGAGCGAACGGGGAGCAGCCCAGAGUCUGAAUCAGCUUGUGUGUUAGUGGAACGGUCUGGAAAGUCCGACGGUACAGGGUGAUAGUCCCGUACACCAAAAUGCACAGGUUGUGAACUCGAAGAGUAGGGCGGGACACGUGGUAUCCUGUCUGAAUAUGGGGGGACCAUCCUCCAAGGCUAAAUACUCCUGACUGACCGAUAGUGAACCAGUACCGUGAGGGAAAGGCGAAAAGAACCCCGGCGAGGGGAGUGAAAAAGAACCUGAAACCGUGUACGUACAAGCAGUGGGAGCACCUUCGGGUGUGACUGCGUACCUUUUGUAUAAUGGGUCAGCGACUUAUAUUCUGUAGCAAGGUUAACCGUAUAGGGGAGCCGCAGGGAAACCGAGUCUUAACUGGGCGUUAAGUUGCAGGGUAUAGACCCGAAACCCGGUGAUCUAGCCAUGGGCAGGUUGAAGGUUGGGUAACACUAACUGGAGGACCGAACCGACUAAUGUUGAAAAAUUAGCGGAUGACUUGUGGCUGGGGGUGAAAGGCCAAUCAAACCGGGAGAUAGCUGGUUCUCCCCGAAAGCUAUUUAGGUAGCGCCUCGUGAACUCAUCUUCGGGGGUAGAGCACUGUUUCGGCUAGGGGGUCAUCCCGACUUACCAACCCGAUGCAAACUACGAAUACCGAAGAAUGUUAUCACGGGAGACACACGGCGGGUGCUAACGUCCGUCGUGAAGAGGGAAACAACCCAGACCGCCAGCUAAGGUCCCAAAGUCAUGGUUAAGUGGGAAACGAUGUGGGAAGGCACAGACAGCCAGGAUGUUGGCUUAGAAGCAGCCAUCAUUUAAAGAAAGCGUAAUAGCUCACUGGUCGAGUCGGCCUGCGCGGAAGAUGUAACGGGGCUAAACCAUGCACCGAAGCUGCGGCAGCGACACUAUGUGUUGUUGGGUAGGGGAGCGUUCUGUAAGCCUGCGAAGGUGACCUGUGAGGGUUGCUGGAGGUAUCAGAAGUGCGAAUGCUGACAUAAGUAACGAUAAAGCGGGUGAAAAGCCCGCUCGCCGGAAGACCAAGGGUUCCUGUCCAACGUUAAUCGGGGCAGGGUGAGUCGACCCCUAAGGCGAGGCCGAAAGGCGUAGUCGAUGGGAAACAGGUUAAUAUUCCUGUACUUGGUGUUACUGCGAAGGGGGGACGGAGAAGGCUAUGUUAGCCGGGCGACGGUUGUCCCGGUUUAAGCAUGUAGGCUGGUUAUCCAGGCAAAUCCGGAUAAUCAAGGCUGAGGUGUGAUGACGAGGCACUACGGUGCUGAAGUAACAAAUGCCCUGCUUCCAGGAAAAGCCUCUAAGCAUCAGGUAACAUCAAAUCGUACCCCAAACCGACACAGGUGGUCAGGUAGAGAAUACCAAGGCGCUUGAGAGAACUCGGGUGAAGGAACUAGGCAAAAUGGUGCCGUAACUUCGGGAGAAGGCACGCUGGUGUGUAGGUGAAGUCCCUGCGGAUGGAGCUGAGACCAGUCGAAGAUACCAGCUGGCUGCAACUGUUUAUUAAAAACACAGCACUGUGCAAACACGAAAGUGGACGUAUACGGUGUGACGCCUGCCCGGUGCCGGAAGGUUAAUUGAUGGGGUUAUCCGUAAGGAGAAGCUCUUGAUCGAAGCCCCGGUAAACGGCGGCCGUAACUAUAACGGUCCUAAGGUAGCGAAAUUCCUUGUCGGGUAAGUUCCGACCUGCACGAAUGGCGUAAUGAUGGCCAGGCUGUCUCCACCCGAGACUCAGUGAAAUUGAACUCGCUGUGAAGAUGCAGUGUACCCGCGGCAAGACGGAAAGACCCCGUGAACCUUUACUAUAGCUUGACACUGAACAUUGAGCCUUGAUGUGUAGGAUAGGUGGGAGGCUUUGAAGCGUGGACGCCAGUCUGCGUGGAGCCAACCUUGAAAUACCACCCUUUAAUGUUUGAUGUUCUAACGUUGGCCCCUUAUCGGGGUUGCGGACAGUGUCUGGUGGGUAGUUUGACUGGGGCGGUCUCCUCCCAAAGCGUAACGGAGGAGCACGAAGGUUAGCUAAUCCUGGUCGGACAUCAGGAGGUUAGUGCAAUGGCAUAAGCUAGCUUGACUGCGAGCGUGACGGCGCGAGCAGGUGCGAAAGCAGGUCAUAGUGAUCCGGUGGUUCUGAAUGGAAGGGCCAUCGCUCAACGGAUAAAAGGUACUCCGGGGAUAACAGGCUGAUACCGCCCAAGAGUUCAUAUCGACGGCGGUGUUUGGCACCUCGAUGUCGGCUCAUCACAUCCUGGGGCUGAAGUAGGUCCCAAGGGUAUGGCUGUUCGCCAUUUAAAGUGGUACGCGAGCUGGGUUUAGAACGUCGUGAGACAGUUCGGUCCCUAUCUGCCGUGGGCGCUGGAGAAUUGAGGGGGGCUGCUCCUAGUACGAGAGGACCGGAGUGGACGCAUCACUGGUGUUCGGGUUGUCAUGCCAAUGGCACUGCCCGGUAGCUAAAUGCGGAAGAGAUAAGUGCUGAAAGCAUCUAAGCACGAAACUUGCCCCGAGAUGAGUUCUCCCUGAGACUUUAAGUCUCCUGAAGGAACGUUGAAGACGACGACGUUGAUAGGCCGGGUGUGUAAGCGCAGCGAUGCGUUGAGCUAACCGGUACUAAUGAACCGUGAGGCUUAACCUU